AUGGGCGAGGCCGACCACUACAGGACGCUGGGGCUCCGGUGAGAUGCCAGCAAAGCCGAGGUCAAGGCCGCAUUCUCCCGCCUCGCCCUCCUCCACCACCCCGACCGCCACGCCCAGGCCGACGCCGCCACCCGCGCUGACGCCACCCGCCGCUUCCGCCAGGUGUACGACGCCUACCACGUCCUCUACGAUGACCACCGCCGCGCCGAGUAUGACCUCUGCACCUCCUCGGCUUGGAGCGGCUUCAGUCACGGCGGCGCCAAGUCCCGCUCCUCCUCGGCCUCGGGUGGCUACGGGCAUGGCGGGGCCUCCUCUUCGCCUUCGGGUCGCUACGGGUACCCACACGGACGCGGCGGCGAUUUUCAGGACUGGCCAUCUCCGAGGGAAGGCGAAAGUCUGGGCGUUUGGAUGAGAGCCAAUUGGUACCCCUUGCUCUGCUGCACCAUGAGGAUCGCAAAAGUUGUAAUAGAUGGCUGGAAGCUGUAUAAUACCUGGGUAAGUAAACAACCCCUCAACCUCUAA
rnacentral:rRNA from 1 species